UACGGGGGGGGCAAGCGUUGUUCGGAAUUACUGGGCGUAAAGGGUUCGUAGGUGGCUUGCUAAGUCAGACGUGAAAUCCCUCAGCUUAACUGGGGAACUGCGUCUGAUACUGGCAAGCUUGAGUUCGGGAGAGGGAUGCGGAAUUCCAGGUGUAGCGGUGAAAUGCGUAGAUAUCUGGAGGAACACCGGUGGCGAAGGCGGCAUCCUGGACCGACACUGACGCUGAAAAGCGAAAGCCAGGGGAGCAAACGGG
rnacentral:rRNA from 1 species